GCCUUUUAUCGAAGUACAUGGAUCACAAUGAGCUCAGGAGGAUGGGUACUGACUGGAUAGAGGACGAUCUCAGGGGCUUUUACCUCCAACCUGUGUUUGCCUACCGCUAGAUCUGAGAGACCUGCUGUGUGACCCUGAGCCCUCGCUGUGCAUCAUCGCUUCCCAGACUCUGUUACUAGUCCAGAUGGCGAGGGCCGAACCAAAACCUAAGCAGAGAGUGAACUGGUUGCAGAAGCUCAUGGGCAGGUCCUCUGCCUAGAAACACAAGGCAAGCAACAUCAGAGACAGAAUCUUGCUAUGUUGUGCGGCAAGCUAGUCUUGAACUCAUGGCCUCAAGUCAUCCUCCUGUGUCAGCCUCCCAAAGUGCUGGGAUUACAAGCAUGCACCACGGCACCCAGCAGAAUUCCAGUCUUGAGAAACAGGUCAAGGACAGCUUCAAAAGAGAUUCUAAAUAAAUGUUAAUGUUACAAU
rnacentral:lncRNA from 10 species